rnacentral:rRNA from 1 species
UACGUAGGGCGCAAGCGUUGUCCGGAAUUAUUGGGCGUAAAGAGCUCGUAGGCGGCUUGUCACGUCGGGUGUGAAAGCCCGGGGCUUAACCCCGGGUCUGCAUUCGAUACGGGCUAGCUAGAGUGUGGUAGGGGAGAUCGGAAUUCCCGGUGUAGCGGUGGAAUGCGCAGAUAUCAGGAGGAACACCGGUGGCGAAGGCGGGUCUCUGGGCAGUAACUGACGCUGAGGAGCGAAAGCGUGGGGAGCGAACAGG